GCGUGGAGUAUGUGGUUUAAUUCGAUGCAACGCGAAAAACCUUACCUGCCCUUGACAUCCUCGGAACUUGUCAGAGAUGACUUGGUGCCUUCGGGAACCGAGAGACAGGUGCUGCAUGGCUGUCGUCAGCUCGUGUCGUGAGAUGUUGGGUUAAGUCCCGUAACGAGCGCAACCCUUACCCUUAGUUGUUUUCCCGAAAGGAUUACCCUCUAAGGGGACUGCCCCGGACAACGGGGAGGAAGGUGGGGAUGACGUCAAGUCCGCAUGCUCCUUACGUCUAGGGCUACACACGUCCUACAAUGGGGUCGACAGUGGGAUGCAAAGCCGCGAGGUGGAGCCAAUCCCCAAACGGCCUCUCAGUUCGGAUAGUAGUCUGCAACUCGACUACUUGAAGUCGGAAUCGCUAGUAAUGGCGGAUCAGCAUGCCGCCGUGAAUACGUUCCCGGGUCUU
rnacentral:rRNA from 1 species